UACGAAGGGGGCUAGCGUUGUUCGGAUUUACUGGGCGUAAAGCGCACGUAGGCGGAUCGUUAAGUCGGGGGUGAAAUCCUGGAGCUCAACUCCAGAACUGCCUUCGAUACUGGCGAUCUUGAGUCCGGAAGAGGUGAGUGGAACUCCUAGUGUAGAGGUGGAAUUCGUAGAUAUUAGGAAGAACACCAGUGGCGAAGGCGGCCGGCUGGGGGUGCCCUGACGCUGAGGCGCGAAAGCGUGGGGAGCGAACCGG
rnacentral:rRNA from 1 species